GAGGGCCUGAGCAUGCACACAGAGCAGUUCAACAGGCUGGAGAAAUGCAGUUUGAUGGCCGCUUGCUUCCAGCCGCUGUCCUCUGUUCUCAGAAGCAGUAAAAGCCUGGAGAACCUGAACCUUUUAGGAAACGACCUGGGGCUGGAUGGAGUCAGCAGGCUGUGGACGCCCUUGAGAAAGUCAGCGUGCAAGCUUCAGAAACUCGGACUCCAGCCUCCAUGACCUGCCCUGAAUUCCAAAGGGCAGCUUCAAGCAGUUGCUUCUCAUGGAAGGAGCAGCCGAGAAAUCACCUGAGACAAAAUUAAAGGAACCAGUCAGUCCAGUCGCUCAGUCGUGUCCUACUCUUUGUGAUCCCAUGGACUGCAGCAUGCCAGGCCUCCAU